AAAGCACAUUGAAAACACCGGUUCUCAUUCGAUCGUCGGAGAUAAGUAGUGUCAAUCCCGUUCAGUACUUAGAUGGAUGACUACUUGGGAACACCAGGUACUGUAAU